rnacentral:rRNA from 1 species
GCCAGCAGCCAUAUCACCCUGCAACUCACCACUGGCAGCCCCACUGGAGCUCAGCGGGUGUGAGGCUGGUCGGUACCUGGAUGGGAGACCUCCUGGGAAAAACUAAGGUUGCUGCUGGAA